rnacentral:rRNA from 1 species
AUACGUAGGGGGCGAGCGUUGUCCGGAAUGACUGGGCGUAAAGGGCGCGUAGGCGGUUUUUUAAGUUAGGAGUGAAAGUCCGGCUUUUAAGGUUGGAAUUGCUUUUAAUACUGGAGAACUUGAGUGCGGAAGAGGUAAGUGGAAUUCCCAGUGUAGCGGGUAAAUGCGUAGAGAUUGGGAGGAACACCAGUGGCGAAGGCGACUUACUGGGCCGUAACUGACGCUGAGGCGCGAAAGCGUGGGGAGCGAACAGGAUUAGAUACCCUGGUAGUCCACGCGGUAAACGAUGAAUGCUAGGUGUAGGGGGUAUCGACCCCUUCUGUGCCGGAGUAAACGCAAUAAGCAUUCCGCCUGGGGAGUACGGCCGCAAGGUUGAAACUCAAAGGAAUUGACGGGG